GGCUCAGGACGAACGCUGGCGGCGUGCUUAACACAUGCAAGUCGAACGGUGAUGUCAGAGCUUGCUCUGGCGGAUCAGUGGCGAACGGGUGAGUAACACGUGAGUAACCUGCCCCCGACUCUGGGAUAACUGCUAGAAAUGGUAGCUAAUACCGGAUAUGACGACUGGCCGCAUGGUCUGGUCGUGGAAAGAAUUUCGGUUGGGGAUGGACUCGCGGCCUAUCAGGUUGUUGGUGAGGUAAUGGCUCACCAAGCCUACGACGGGUAGCCGGCCUGAGAGGGUGACCGGCCACACUGGGACUGAGACACGGCCCAGACUCCUACGGGAGGCAGCAGUGGGGAAUAUUGCACAAUGGGCGCAAGCCUGAUGCAGCAACGCCGCGUGAGGGAUGACGGCCUUCGGGUUGUAAACCUCUUUUAGUAGGGAAGAAGCGAAA
rnacentral:rRNA from 1 species